rnacentral:rRNA from 1 species
GCCAGCAGCCAUGUCACCCCACAAUUCACAUCUGGCAACCCACGGAAGCUAAGCAGGUGUGAGCCUGGUCAGUACCUGGAUGGGAAACCUCCUGGGAACAAAGGUUGCUGCUGGAA